UCUCCGUUGAAGCCCAAAUUUGGGUCAUCUCCCCCAUUGAAGCCCAAUUUCGGUGGUCGAUCAGAGUCAAGCUUCUGCUGGGGAUUUCAAUCUUCUCUUCCAAUUUCCAAUUUCUCAAUUCUUCUCAUCUCGAUUUAUCAAUCCCACCCAGAUUUGAGAUCAUGGUUUUAUCCCAGAAGCUUCACGAGGCCUUCAAAGGAACUGUUGAGAGGAUCACCGGACCUCGAACCGUCUCCGCUUUCAAAGAGAAAGGCGUUCUCAGUGUUUCUGAGUUCGUCAUCGCCGGUGAUAAUCUCGUCUCCAAGUGUCCCACCUGGUCUUGGGAGUCGGGUGAUCUGAACAAGAGGAAAUCAUAUCUGCCCCCAGAUAAGCAAUUCUUGAUUACCAGAAAUGUUCCUUGCCUGCGACGGGCUGCCUCUGUUGAAGAGGAGUAUGAAGCUGCAGGUGGUGAAGUUCUUCUUGAUAAUGAAGAUGGUGAUGGCUGGCUGGCGACCCAUGGGAAACCAAAGGAAGAAAAAAGAGACGAAGAGGAAAAUUUGCCUUCCUUGGAAACUCUUGAAAUCAGCAGGACCAAGGUUGUUAAGUCGAUUCCAAACUAUUUUGGUGGUGAAGAUGAAGAUGAUGUUCCUGACCUGGAUGAUAUCGAAGAAACUGACAAUGUUGUUGGAACUGAUCCAGCCACCCUGCCAUUGACCUACCAAAUUGCCCACGAACCUGAUGACGAUAAUAUCCUACGAACACGAACUUAUGAUGUCAGCAUCACGUAUGAUAAAUAUUAUCAGACACCACGUGUUUGGCUUACAGGAUAUGAUGAGUCAAGGAUGCUCUUACAGCCGGAACUUGUGCUUGAAGAUGUUAGUCAAGAUCAUGCUCGAAAAACAGUGACCAUUGAGGACCAUCCCCACCUACCUGGAAAGCAUGCGUCUGUACAUCCCUGCAGACACGGGGCUGUGAUGAAAAAGAUCAUCGAUGUGUUAAUGUCCCGAGGUGUAGAACCUGAAGUUCACAAGUAUCUUUUCUUGUUCUUAAAAUUUGUUGCAUCUGUUAUUCCGACUAUUGAAUAUGAUUAUACUAUGGACUUCGAUCUCGGCGGCCCUAGCAGUCAAUAACUGGUAUUGAUAAGCAUUCUUAGAUGAAGUUUAGUCGUUUUGAAAAUUUCUGAAAGCCAGAGAUCAUGAAGUGUCAAUUCUCUCUUUGUUUAAUCAUUCAUCGCGUUACUGCCAGUAGGAACACUUAUCCGGUUAUACAUACGUGUGGGACAUUUCACAUCUGAUGUUUCUGCAAAUACAGGCUGACCCCUCGCUCUUUGUACAUACACAACAUGGGGUCUAAAAGUUACCCUCUUUUGGGCAUAUUUUGUGUUUUGGAAGUCUAAUCUUGCCAUUGCUUUCUGUCAAAUCUUAGUUUGGGCAUAAAGAUCAUUUGUGGUUCUUUGUAACAUAACAUGGAGCAGAAAGUUUCUGCUCUUCACAACUUACUAUUCAAUGGGAAUUUGUUUGCUAUUAAACUAGUGCAGCAAAAACUCAUUUUCAUCUUGUUGGGAAAAAAAAAAUUGAUUGAAUGCCAUUAUUGCAAUAUAAUACCUACCUAUUAACAAUCUCUCUUCA